rnacentral:tRNA from 1 species
AGCAGCGUGGCUCAGUGGAAAGAGCCCGGGCUUGGGAGUCAGAGAUCGUGGGUUCGAAUCCCGGCUCUGCCA